rnacentral:lncRNA from 10 species
GGAAAACCUGCGAUCCUGGCCUGCAGAGGGAGGGGAGGACCCCUUUUGCCAGGCUCCCCCAAACAUUGAGCUCUCAGCUUCACCAGCUGCACCCCAUGGGGUCUUCUUUGCCAGCUUUGGCGAGGGUCUGUUCCUCACUGCGCCAAUGCCCCGGCAUGUGAUCUUUGGGCUCAGUGCCAGGCCCAGCUAUCCUGCUGGCAAAAAAGCCUCCGGUCCUGGGCACCUUUGAUGACUUCCUUUCCCAUCCGUGCUGCUGGAGAUGUCUACACUAGGAACUCACUGGGAUGGAGCUGUGUCCUGCAGGAAGGGCGGGGUGAGAGCCGGCCAGUGUCUGAGCUCCAGGAAUGGCAAAGAGGAAGCUGCACAAUAUUUCCCAGGUCCGCAGAGGCCAUACGGAUGCCUCCCUCAGACCCACCACAGGGGGACCUCGCCCUUGGUGGGGGCCGGGGGAG